GACCACGCCUGUGGCCUAGUGAUUAGAGCGUCCGCCUCGGAUGCUGGAGGUCUCGGGUUCGAACCCCAGUUGAGUCA